rnacentral:rRNA from 1 species
GACAGAGGAUGCAAGCGUUAUCCGGAAUCACUGGGCGUAAAGCGUCUGUAGGUGGUUCAAUAAGUCAACUGUUAAAUCUUGAGGCUCAACUUCAAAAUCGCAGUCGAAACUAUUGGACUCGAGUAUAGUAGGGGUAAAGGGAAUUUCCAGUGGAGCGGUGAAAUGCGUAGAGAUUGGAAAGAACACCAAUGGCGAAAGCACUUUACUGGGCUAUCACUGACACUGAGAGACGAAAGCUAGGGUAGCAAAUGGG